AAUAACAUGAGGUUUAUUGAUAGGAACCAGUGCACUGGGGUCGAGACUCAUAUCCCACGCAGGGGCAGUGGAGUUCAACACUGAAAGGCUGGGAGAAAGGGUAUUUAAAGGGAGAAACCACAAUCCGAGGGCAGGGGUGGUGUCAUUGGAAAGUGUCGAGAAUACUAAUGAAAAAUCACAAGGAGGAGCUUCCUGUUUCUCAAGAUUGUUUACUUUAUGGUCCAUCAGUUCCUGGGAGAAGCUUCCUGCUUCUCAAGAUUAUUCUCUAAGAUUUUAAUCUAACUUUAUGGUCAGCUAGUGUCCCGCGCGUGACUUUCCGCCGGCAAGAAGCACGCGAGACAUAGAAAUUCUUGCUAUGAGUGAUACUUUAUUCCUAUCUCAUGGAGAAGCCCUGCGCGCCAGCCAGGCGCGCCUAUUUAACCCUCGGGCACGCAUCAACGCCUGAUUGGUUGUUUACUCAUGAUCUCAUCAGGCACGCCCCGGAAUGGGCAAAGACCUGGCAGGAAGGCACUCUUGCACAUGCGCAUAGUUAACUUCCUGAUAGGGGGGCCAGCUGGCGCAGGGAAGGCUGGCGCCAUCUUGACUGACUUGGCCUUCCAUGUGGGGCGCAGUGGAAGCCAGCGCCAUCUAAUGGUCGCGCAUGUUAUUGCGGCCCUCUACAUCUCACCCUUAUAAUUAUAAUUUUAUAGCAGAAAUGAUCACCCUAUCGCGUGCAAUGAGGAAACCUCAGCGAUGUGCAAGGGCUGAUCAAAGGAAAUCACUGAGUCUCUCUCAAUCCCAGUGCAAUGGAUCCACAGAUCCAUGGGGUGCAGGAGCAGAGAACUCAGAUACAGAGAGUAUCCCUCUCCUCCCAGUGCAAUGGACCCACAGGUCCAUGGGGUGCAGGAGCAGGGAACUCAAAUACAGAGUAAAUCCUGAACAAGAUAACCAAAUUCCAGGUGAGGCCCUUUGUUCAAAUGGCUGCAAGUGCUUGAGUGAUAACGGCCUUGUCAUGUUACUGUUGAGAUCUGAGUUUGUAAACCAACCAUAGUAUGAACACUGAUCCACAGCAUAGGGCUGCAUCAGACAGAGCCACUCCCGAUAAGUAGUGGGCACCUCAUAUGGUCCUCCUCAGCUGUUGCCACCAAGGGCCAUGGUCAAGCCACUCCUAUAAUGAAAUUUAGAAUUUCCAAUUGUUAGUAACUACUCCAGAAAGUUCACCCACUGUACUUGUCUAACAAUAGAUUGGGGGAGGAUAACUCCAGACACUGCAGACACAAUGUCUGCAGCAGUAAUGGCUGCUACAAUAGCAGCGAAAGUGUCAAGGUCUUUUCCAGGACAGUUCAGGAUCAGUCAUUUUUCUCUGGAACAACCAGCAGACAAUGGAACCAUUUCUGAGAUCUGUAUAACCAGGACAGAGGUCUCCAGUCACUGUAGCUUUACACAGGUAGCUUUCUGUGAAGCUAUAGUCUGUAAAAUGACAACACCAGUUACCAGUUAAGGCAGCAAAAGUCACCAGGGAAAUGAAAGGACAGGGGUAACAGCUAGAGUUCAGUCUUCUCCAGGAAACAGCAGUGUACAGAGUCUGAGCGUAGGCCACAAUGGGACGGGAACACGUGGCGGUAACACUGACUGCAGCAACGGCAAAGUCUCUGUGAUGACAAAGGAUGAAGGGAAAUCUUCUAUCUUCCUCUCAGGGCAGAGGAAUGACUCCAGGGACCCGAACCACGAGAGCUGAAUCUUCAUGCUCCCAGGAUCAGCAUGUCUCACCAGACACUCAGGCAGCUGGCACACUCCUGUAGCAUCCUGUAGAAAAAACACAAACAUUCCCUCUUCCCCAUAUAAAAUAUCUGGACAGGAACAUGUCAAUAAGUGGAUCUCUCUAUUUCACCUAGGCAGAAGUAUGCCUAGUUGUAGGGUGCCAUAAACUUUGGCAUCCAAAUUUUUAAAAUUGAAAUAUUUUAAAAUUGAAAUAAAAGGAGCAUUAUUUAGCAUACAGGGAUAACUCCCCCUUUUUAUUUAUAAAGAUAUAGUAAAGAUAUUAUUUAUUAAGGUAAGUCCUCGAGGAUUAAGUUGAGGACACUGAGCACUUGUAUUUAUAAAUUGACUUGUAUACCAAAUUAUUGUCUCUAGCAUAAUUGUAUUGAAUAUAUAAAGAAUGAGAUUUUUUGACUAAUUGUUCCUAUGUAAGGCCUAUAAUCUGUCUGGAAUCUUGUCCUCCCUUGUUAAGGAGCCCAGAAAAUCCAGUUUGAGUUUUUAAAUGUCCUAUAAAGGAACAGUAUAUAGUGCUCUUAACCACUAAGCCAUUUUUCUAGCACCUCACAAACUUUAUUUACCUAAACAUAAGCAUUAAUUAGAAAUGUCAAAUCUUGUAAAUAUUGUCCAGAUUUAGUCUUACUAGAAAUCUCUGAGCUGGCAGGGUGAGGCUGGGAGUUGAAAGUAAACAAAUGGAGUCUUCCUCUUUUCGUGAGGGUGUGUUAUCAACUCUAUUACCAUUUUUAAAGAGCAGCGUCUAUGGUUUUGUUUAGUUGUCUGAGCCAGAGCACUGAAAGGACAAUGAGUUGUCAGACAAUUCACAUUGAAAUCGUCACUCACUGAUUUCAAGUAGAAAACCUGUCUCUAAUAAAGCAUUAAGUAAUUGAAAUCAAUUGUAAACCACAAGCCACACAUUGGCUAUCAGUAUAUGAAUAGAAAGCUUGAUUUAAAAACAGUGGCUACAGGACGUAAUCUAAUAAUCUGUGCUGAAGCAACAGAAACUCAAGAGAAUAAACAAGUGAU
ensembl:lncRNA